AGAGUUGAUCCUGGCUCAGGAUGAACGCUAGCUACAGGCUUAACACAUGCAAGUCGAGGGGCAGCAUUGGAGUAGCAAUACUCAGAUGGCGACCGGCGCACGGGUGAGUAACGCGUAUGCAACCUACCUAUCAGAGGGGAAUAACCCGGCGAAAGUCGGACUAAUACCGCAUAAAACAGGGGCACCGCAUGGUGAUAUUUGUUAAAGAAAUUCGCUGAUAGAUGGGCAUGCGUUCCAUUAGGUAGUUGGUGAGGUAACGGCUCACCAAGCCGACGAUGGAUAGGGGAACUGAGAGGUUGGUCCCCCACACUGGUACUGAGACACGGACCAGACUCCUACGGGAGGCAGCAGUGAGGAAUAUUGGUCAAUGGGCGGGAGCCUGAACCAGCCAAGUCGCGUGAAGGAAGAAGGAUCUAUGGUUCGUAAACUUCUUUUGCAGGGGAAUAAAGUGCAGGACGUGUCCUGUUUUGUAUGUACCCUGAGAAUAAGGAUCGGCUAACUCCGUGCCAGCAGCGGC
rnacentral:rRNA from 1 species